UAAGAAAGCUAAUACGCCGGGAAAAAUGAUUAGUUUUCAUGUUUUUCCUAAAGGCGAUUUGUAAAAAUCGUGAUUGUAAUUGGGAAUGGUCAAAAACCAAGUGUGAUGUGGCCAUUUGAAGAGGAUGUUUUUAUUACAUGUGGAGGAAGAAGAUACUUGGAAUCAAUGUUUGUGCUUCUGUAAAACAGUGCACUCUUAUAAUGUCCAUGAAAGCACAAGUUCAAGUGUACCAGAAAUAUGUCAA